rnacentral:lncRNA from 1 species
ACCACCCAGUAUUCUGGCCUAUGCCCCAUAAUCUCUCCCUCAAUUAACUCUCUCCAUCUCUCCUUCCCAUCUCGUGCACAUUGCCGAGCUCUCCAUGCCCUUCGUUGCCUCUCAUCUCUCGCCCAGCACGAGUUUCUGACCCACACCUCUGCGGCCUCCGUCGCACCUCAUCGUCGCGCCAACUUCUCCGUCGACCGCGCGUGGACUGACCCACCACCUGCCCGCCGACGAGCUCGUAACCUCCCUCGCCACCGUGCUUAAUUCCGCCAGGAUUAGGCCCUGUUUCACCUGCAGUUUUAGCCUCUGAUCCACUUCGCCUGAGCGCCUUCUUGGUUUGGAAACGAGGCCAGCUGGGAUAGGAUCUCUCACGCCAUGCAGGAGACAGGAGUAGUGUGGAUUGCCAGGUGACGUUGCAUCUCAGCGUCACAUGUACAGGUAGGCGACGAUGGUAAGCACAUGUAGUCCCGAUUGAUGCACUAGUUUGAAACUGCAUUGUACGUAUCAUUAUUUCACCACGAAUGAAUGUAUGAGGCAUAGCUUGUAUUGUCUUUUUUCGUUGGGACAUUUCCCUUAUUUGAAGCAUUGUAGAGUUCUUCUCCAUCUCUCUAGGAUUUGUUCAUCAAAUUUUGCUAAGUCUGUCGCAUAAUUAUGUCUUGAAUUGCAGGAAGCACAGAAGAAGCUCGUAAGAUUCAACACGUCUUUCUGCAAGGCCACGGUGCCGUUGACAACGUCUUCGCACGUAUGCUUGCAGAUCGUGUUACUGUGGUAGAUGGUGCAGUGCUUCAUGAUCACCAUGGAAGCAAAUUCUCCGUUUAACUAAGACAGAUGUUCACAAUUGUGGAAAACUAUCCCGAUGUUUAAAUUAUAUAUAUUCCCUGUUUGUUUGAAACAAGUAUACGUUUGUAUGGAAGUAAUUCUCUGAUGUAUGAAAAUAGUAUCAAAUGAUUUUGAAGCAAAAUAUAUAUCCUUGGAAGCAUGGCGUCUGCAUUGUGCCCAGACGAUACAAACCCUAGUCACAUGCAUUAUUUUUGUUGUAUAUGGGA